CUGAGCCCUUGUCAGAGCAGCAGCAGGGUCUGUCCCUGUCAGACAGACUCAGCCGGUGCUAGUUUGGGUGACUGCAAUGUUUCCCUGGCAGUAUGAAUGCGAUCUGAGACUCUUCUCCAAUUCCUGUGUCUCUACUGCACGAAGGUCCUUUGCUGUGAGGGGUUUUGCCGGGGCGUCACAUGAAGUUGUGGCAGAACUGGGAGUAAAACCUCAGUCUCUAUACUCCCAAUCCCAUACUCCAACCACAAGAUCACCCUUCCUUUCCUAAGGUUUUUCCGCCAUCUUAGCCUUCAGAGCUGAUGUGUUUGAUGAGCUUUCUGGUGCUGCUGGAAUUCUGGAAGAAGCAAAUCUCACCUCAUUCUGGAAGGAGCCAGGUGUGUCGUCCAGUUCUGCAAAGUUUAAAAACCCUUCCAACAAACUGUGAAACAGCAAGAAGAAAAGUCUAACAGUAAACCCUUCAUCGAGCACUGUGGAGGCAGCGUCUCAGCCCGGCAAGGCAGGAGGUUACCUGGCAGUGAACUCUUCAUGCCCCCUCGGUUGUAUUAUCCUUGGAUUCCAGUGACAGGAAAUCCAGUGCUGAUGUUAAUGAGUUGCUUUGAGAACAGGGAAUAGUUACUUAGGGAAAUUUAAAAGAUCCUGCUCCUGUCCUGGGCUCUAUAGUAACCCACGCUGCAUAGCAGUUUGUCCGUGCUCUGUCACCUGUGGUGGAAUUGCAGUC